rnacentral:misc_RNA from 1 species
GAUGAUCACCCUCAGGUUGAAAAAUUUGGCCCCUCUAUAUCAAUAUCAGCAGCAAAACUCUUGCAGGCAUCAGCAAUGGGCCGGUAGCCAGUGCACCGACAAAGGUUUCCCGCUAUGGCAUUUUCAGCUUCAGAUGAAGUAAGCUUAGAGAAUCCUGGUGGAGGAUCGGGUUUAUUUCCUUUAUCAGCGUUGACGAGAGCUGAGAAAAGUGAC